rnacentral:tRNA from 1 species
GGACUGUGGCUCAGCGGUAGAGCACUUGCCUAGCAUGUGCGAGGUCCUGGGUUCAAUCUCCAGUACCA